CAGUAGCCGCGGUAAUACAGAGGAUGCAAGCGUUAUCCGGAAUGAUUGGGCGUAAAGCGCGCGCAGGCGGUUUUUUAAGUCUGGUGUCUAAGUGCGGGGCUCAACCCCGUGACGCACUGGAAACUGGGAGACUUGAGCGCAGAAGAGGAGAGCGGAAUUCCACGUGUAGCGGUGAAAUGCGUAGAGAUGUGGAGGAACACCAGUGGCGAAGGCGGCUCUCUGGACUGUAACUGACGCUGAGGCGAGAAAGCGUGGGGAGCAAACAGGAUUAGAUACCCGAGUAGUCCCUGUCUCUUAUACA
rnacentral:rRNA from 1 species